rnacentral:rRNA from 1 species
CGGUGAAAUGCUUAGAUAUCACGAAGAACUCCGAUUGCGAAGGCAGCUUGCUGGACUGUAACUGACGCUGAUGCUCGAAAGUGUGGGUAUCAAACAGGAUUAGAUACCCUGGUAGUCCACACAGUAAACGAUGAAUACUCGCUGUUUGCGAUAUACAGUAAGCGGCCAAGCGAAAGCGUUAAGUAUUCCACCUGGGGAGUACGCCGGCAACGGUGAAACUCAAAGGAAUUGACGGGGGCCCGCACAAGCGGAGGAACAUGUGGUUUAAUUCGAUGAUACGCGAGGAACCUUACCCGGGCUUAAAUUGCAAAUGAAUGUUCUGGAAACAGAUCAGCCGCAAGGCAUUUGUGAAGGUGCUGCAUGGUUGUCGUCAGCUCGUGCCGUGAGGUGUCGGCUUAAGUGCCAUAACGAGCGCAACCCUUAUCGAUAGUUACCAUCAGGUUAUGCUGGGGACUCUGUCGAGACUGCCGUCGUAAGAUGUGAGGAAGGUGGGGAUGACGUCAAAUCAGCACGGCCCUUACGUCCGGGGCUACACACGUGUUACAAUGGGGGGUACAGAAGGCAGCUACACGGUGACGUGAUGCUAAUCCCUAAAACCUCUCUCAGUUCGGAUUGGAGUCUGCAACCCGACUCCAUGAAGCUGGAUUCGCUAGUAAUCGCGCAUCAGCCACGGCGCGGUGAAUACGUUCCCGGGCCUUGUACACACCGCCCGUCAAGCCAUGAAAGCCGGGGGUACCUGAAGUGCGUAACCGCGAGGAGCGCCCUAGGGUAAAACUGGUGAUUGGGGCUAAGUCGUAACAAGGUAGCCGUACCGGAAGGUGCGGCUG